AUGGGUCUGUUUAUGGUAUGCAGAGAGAGUGCUGUUUCUCAUCUCUUAACUAUGCUCCUACAGUGAUAACUCACUUGUUUCCACCUGAUGUGAUGCAUGAUAUUUUGCAGGGAGUUAUUCCUAAUGCUCUCAGAUGGAUUCUUCAUCAGUUAAUCCAGGAUAAACACUUCACCCUAGAUCAACUGAACUUUGAAAUUGAAAAUUUAUCAUAUUCUGUAAAUGACAAAACAUCUAAGCCACAAAUCUUGACGGAAAGAAUGUUGCGAAGCAAAGGUCAACUCUCUGGUAAAGCUUCAGAAACCUGGACAUUGUUUCGACUGCUACCACUAAUGGUCGGAUAUUAUGUACCUCCAAACAAGCAUUGGAACUGCUACAUUUUACUGCGCGAAGUGGUAGAUUUGAUCAUGGCCCCAGUGGUUAGAAGAUCGUGGAUACCCUAUCUUGAGGAGAAAAUUACAGAGUUUUUGGCAACAUUUCAUGAACUCUUCCCUGAUGGUGUCAUUCCAAAAAUGCAUUUUUUAGUGCACUAUCCUUCACUUAUGCUGAAAUAUGGGCCAUUACUUCAUUUGUCUUGUAUGCGGUUUGAGGCAAAACAUCAGUAUUUCAAGAAAGUGUCUACUGUUGUUUGCAACUUCAAGAACAUCACCAAAUCACUUGCUAGAAGGCAUCAGCUGAGACAAUGCUGGGAGUAAGCUAAGAAGAAAAGCAUUGGAUAUGAAGUGUGCCAUGCCUCAGGAGCUUGUGAUGUACCAUCAAACACCCUGCCUUCUUUAGUAUUGGCCACACUGGAAUCACAGAUUGGAAGACCUCUGUCAAAUGAAGUCCUACAAAAAACAAAUUCCAUCACAGUUAACAAUACAGCUUAUAAAACUGGAGAAUGCAAAGUGAUUGACACUGUACACACUGAAGAGAUUCCAUUAUUUCUCAAGAUCAAAGCAAUAUAUGGACACAGUGGUUCGUGGUACAUGUUUGGAAAAAUACUCAUUCCAUUCAAAUUUGACAGUCAUCUCCAUGCAUACAAAGUUACCGAAACAUCUUGGUGUGCCCUUGAAGUAGGGAAAGAGUUAGCUUUCCAUGGACUGGACACUUAUAAAAACCUGGAAGGAACUCUUUUGAUCCCCUUGCGACAUUGGAUUACUAAACAUUAGAAUGUAGAAUGAAAUUGAUGGGGACACUUUUGUGAACCUAACUGAAAAUAUGAUAUCAAAAAUAUUUCCAAAAAUGAAGGAUCAAGUUAGAUUUAUAAGAUUACAACAAAGCCUAAAGACUGAGAUGCCCUCUAAGACCACACACACCGAUCAUGAGACUUCAGUUGGUAUUUCACAUGGCCCAAUCUCAAAAAAGAACAUUGCCCAAAGUGUGGCCAGCAAAUUAUCAGCUGCCCAAAUUUCCAUUGGCAAUACAAAAAAAAAAACUUGAUGAGGAGAGCAGAGAUUUUUUUUUCUCCAACAGGACGGAACAAAUGGAGAUCGAAAGUAAUUCAAACUCUGUUUGAUCAGAUGUGCACAUAUACAUGGUAUCCAACAAGUGAACAGUACAACAAGGUGUGUUCAGCCCUUGUUACUAAAUACAAAUUCUUGAGAGACAGGACAGGAAGGGGAUAUGAGUCAUGGCAUGAGAUUCUUAAGAACAAAUUUAAGAAAGAAAGAUCACCCUUGGUUGACAUUGAAGAGAUAAACAGUAUUCGCAGCAGAUUUAGCAGAGUAAAGAACAAUUCUCCAAGCAUCCAACAGACAUCUGACACCAAGAAGGCAACUAAUAAAGAAGUAAGCCAAAUGAUAUGACACCUUAAUGGAUAUUUACAGUAAUGGAUGUCUUUAUUUAUUUAUUUAUUUUAUUGUUUUUUUUUUUUUUUUAGACUGUGGAUCUAUCUGUAAUCCAAGACAUGUACCAAAAGAGACAAAGGUCUGAAGAGGUAAAUAGAAUAAUCUUCAGGAUUUAAGAAUAGGUCAAAGUAUACUGUUAUUAAAUAAGUGCAUGUGUUUUUGUGGAUAGAGUGAAUCAGGAGAAGAUGAAUACAGCAUAGGGAUCCACUUGGAGAAAAUGAGAACAGAAUGCUUGAAGAAGACACCAAAUGUCCGCCUUUUACAAGACUGCAUGGCACGGACAAGGAAUGAGAGGGCAGACUACAUGAAACAUCACUCCACAAAAGAAAUACUAUCACGAUAUCCAGCCCUUAAAAUCCCCUUAAUUGUGAGUAGAAUUGUAUUCCAAAUUAUGACUUCAAAGCAAUGAACAUUUGAACAUUUUUUUUUUUUUUAAAUAUAUAUAUAUAUAUUUAUGGAUAAUAAAUAUACAAUUAACAAUUAACACUAACAUAUAGUAUAAUAUCCAUGGAUAUUUUCACAAUUUUACAUUUAAGGUCUCUCAAUGGCUGCUGCUAUCCUGCUGCUUCCACUUUUAUUCAAGGAGAGUCCGAGAUCUCUAUAUCUUAUCAAUGAGGUAUAGUAAACUUAUAAAAUUUGUUUUUUUAUGCUCCUUCUUUUUAAAUGUGUGCAGUGGCGCAGGUAUGACAUCAAAACCCCACACCCUGGUUCCCAAGAUUUUCCUAUGGGAUUUUAUAUAUAUAUAUAUAUAUAUAAUAUUUUUUUUUAUUUUAUUUUAUUUAUUUUUUUUUUAUUACUAAAAUA